GGUCAAGCGAAUAAGCGCACACGGUGGAUGCCUUGGCGGUCAGAGGCGAUGAAGGACGUGGCAGCCUGCGAAAAGUAUCGGGGAGCUGGCAACAAGCUUUGAUCCGGUAAUGUCCGAAUGGGGAAACCCACCCGCUUGCGGGUAUCCUGCAGUGAAUACAUAGCUGCUGGAAGCGAACCUGGUGAACUGAAAUAUCUAAGUAACCAGAGGAAAAGAAAUCAACCGAGAUUCCGUAAGUAGCGACGAGCGAACGCGGACUAGCCCUUAAGCUGAUUUGGUUCUAGGAAAACGCUCUGGAAAGAGCGGCCAUAGAAGGUGAUAGCCCUGUAUCUGAAAGGGCCAUUUCAGUGAAGACGAGUAGGGCGGGGCACGUGAAACCCUGUCUGAACAUGGGGGGACCAUCCUCCAAGGCUAAAUACUACUGACCGACCGAUAGUGAACCAGUACCGUGAGGGAAAGGCGAAAAGAACCCCGGAGAGGGGAGUGAAAUAGAACCUGAAACCGUGUGCGUACAAGCAGUAGGAGCUCCGCAAGGAGUGACUGCGUACCUUUUGUAUAAUGGGUCAGCGACUUACUGUUCGUGGCAAGCUUAACCGUAUAGGGGAGGCGAAGGGAAACCGAGUCUGAUAAGGGCGCAUAGUCGCGGGCAGUAGACCCGAAACCGGGUGAUCUAGUCAUGCCCAGGGUGAAGGUGCGGUAACACGCACUGGAGGCCCGAACCCACUCCCGUUGCAAAGGUAGGGGAUGAGGUGUGAUUAGGAGUGAAAAGCUAAUCGAACCCGGAGAUAGCUGGUUCUCCUCGAAAGCUAUUUAGGUAGCGCCUCAUAUGUAUCCUCUCGGGGGUAGAGCACUGUUAUGGCUAGGGGGUCAUCGCGACUUACCAAACCAUUGCAAACUCCGAAUACCGAGACGGACUGUAUGGGAGACACACGGCGGGUGCUAACGUCCGUCGUGAAAAGGGAAACAACCCAGACCCACAGCUAAGGUCCCAAAUUCACUGCUAAGUGGAAAACCAUGUGGAAAGGCACAGACAGCCAGGAGGUUGGCUUAGAAGCAGCCACCCUUUAAAGAAAGCGUAAUAGCUCACUGGUCGAGUCGGUCUGCGGGGAAGAUUUAACGGGGCUAAGCAGUGAACCGAAGCUUGGGGUGCAUACUNNNNNNNNNNNNNNNNNNNNNNNNNNNNNNNNNNNNNNNNNNNNNNNNNNNNNNNNNNNNNNNNNNNNNNNNNNNNNNNNNNNNNNNNNNNNNNNNGUUAUGCGCGGUAGAGGAGCGUUCCGUAAGCCGUUGAAGGUGGAUUGAGAAGUCUGCUGGAGGUAUCGGAAGUGCGAAUGCUGACAUGAGUAACGAUAAUGCGGGUGAAAAACCCGCACGCCGAAAGCCCAAGGUUUCCUUGCGCAACGUUAAUCGGCGCAGGGUGAGUCGGCCCCUAAGGCGAGGACGAAAGUCGUAGUCGAUGGGAAGCAGGUUAAUAUUCCUGCACCUCGCGUAAGUGCGAUGGAGGGACGGAGAAGGUUAGGUGUACCAGGCGUUGGUUGUCCUGGGGAAAGGCGGUAGGUUUGGAUCUUUGGCAAAUCCGGGAUCCUCUAAGACCGAGCACCGAGACGAGCCUUUAUGGCGAAGUCACUGAUACCACGCUUCCAGGAAAAGCUCCUAAGCUUCAGCUUACGCAGACCGUACCGUAAACCGACACAGGUGGGUAGGAUGAGAAUUCUCAGGCGCUUGAGAGAACUCGGGUGAAGGAACUAGGCAACAUGGCACCGUAACUUCGGGAGAAGGUGCACCCUUUUUGGUGGCUCGUGCGAGCUAUAGCUGAAGAGGGUCGCAGUAACCAGGCCGCUGCGACUGUUUAUCAAAAACACAGCACUCUGCAAACACGAAAGUGGACGUAUAGGGUGUGACGCCUGCCCGGUGCUGGAAGGUUAAUUGAUGGGGUCAGCCGCAAGGCGAAGCUCUUGAUCGAAGCCCCAGUAAACGGCGGCCGUAACUAUAACGGUCCUAAGGUAGCGAAAUUCCUUGUCGGGUAAGUUCCGACCUGCACGAAUGGCGUAACGACAGCGGCGCUGUCUCCACCCGAGACUCAGUGAAAUUGAAAUCGCUGUGAAGAUGCAGCGUUCCCGUGGCAAGACGGAAAGACCCCGUGAACCUUUACUAUAGCUUUACACUGAACGUUGAGUUCGUCUGUGUAGGAUAGGUGGGAGGCUAUGAAACUGUGGCGCUAGCUGCAGUGGAGCCAUCCUUGAAAUACCACCCUGUCGUGCUUGACGUUCUAACCUGGGCCCAUUAUCUGGGUCGGGGACCGUGUAUGGUGGGUAGUUUGACUGGGGCGGUCUCCUCCUAAAGAGUAACGGAGGAGCUCGAAGGUACGCUCAGCGCGGUCGGACAUCGCGCACUGUGUGCAAAGGCAUAAGCGUGCUUGACUGCAAGAUCGACGGAUCAAGCAGGUAGGAAACUAGGACUUAGUGAUCCGGUGGUUCUGUAUGGAAGGGCCAUCGCUCAACGGAUAAAAGGUACUCCGGGGAUAACAGGCUGAUACCGCCCAAGAGUUCAUAUCGACGGCGGUGUUUGGCACCUCGAUGUCGGCUCAUCACAUCCUGGGGCUGUAGUCGGUCCCAAGGGUAUGGCUGUUCGCCAUUUAAAGUGGUACGCGAGCUGGGUUCAGAACGUCGUGAGACAGUUCGGUCCCUAUCUGCCAUGGGCGUUGGAGAUUUGAGAGGGGCUGCUCCUAGUACGAGAGGACCGGAGUGGACGAACCUCUGGUGUUCCGGUUGUCACGCCAGUGGCAUUGCCGGGUAGCUAUGUUCGGAAGCGAUAACCGCUGAAAGCAUCUAAGCGGGAAGCGCGCCUCAAGAUGAGAUCUCCCGGGGCACAAGCCCCCUGAAGGAACCAUGUAGACUACGUGGUUGAUAGGUCAGGUGUGUAAGUACAGCAAUGUAUUGAGCUAACUGAUACUAAUGAUCCG
rnacentral:rRNA from 1 species